CUCUGCCAAGUUACUGAGAGGAGCGAGAGCUGACGGUGCCCUGUCCACGGUCUCACAGGCAAGUUGGCACUGGGCCAGGAGCAGACCUCUCAUCAUCUCAUGUUCAAGGAAGACUUCAAAACAGCUGAUUGCAUCAGUCUGGUGGGAAACGCUGGGACGGCUAUUGAGCAACGUGUACAUGCUCUAAGUCUAUGGAAUGACUAGAUCAGACCCACUGAGGUCUGUUGCUCUUGCAUGGCCUAGCCCUUCAUCUUGUGGCUUUCAGAAGAUGAAGAAACAUUCCUAAGGAGACUUCGAGGUGACAUCAGCCUGAAGCAGCAGCAGACAGAUCUGGGACCGGACCGUGCACAGUGAAGGUUACUAGCGACUUGCUGACAGAGGGAUGGUGAAGGGUUGUGGCAAGAUUGGUGGCAAUUAGAGGGAGGGGGUUUAUCUCGUGGUCAGGGCAAAGUGACUUUCAUCCAAGCUGCAGUGUAUGUGAUUUAAACUAACAUCAAAAUGUCUAAGCAGGUUCUUGGUGCCAGGGCCAGCCACAGAGCGUUCCACACCAUGCUAUCUCAGUCUACUGAAAAGCUAGUUAGGAAAUUGGGCCAGGGACACCCAGGGACAAUGACCAAAGGGAUUACUCACUCUCAG
rnacentral:lncRNA from 1 species